CAAAGGCCAGGCAAAACGAGCCCUCGCCCGUGUUGCGUGUGCCCUCGCCGAUGCUGCGGGCGCCCACGGCGAGCAGCGACUCGUAGCCGCGGUGCGCGGGCAAGAGGCUCCGGAGGGUCUCGUUGUAGGCCAUGGUGGCGUCGCGCAUGGCCUCGGGGUCGUGCUCCCACAGCGACACGGCACGCGCCACGUCGGCAAACACGAUCGCCAUCGUGCCCUCGGGCGGGCGCACCCCACCCACCGCCGCGCCAGCGGCGACCAGGGCAUUGCCGCGGCCCGACCGACCCCCAGUGCUCGUCGACGAGCCCGUGUCAUAGUCGCCCGUGCCGGCCACCGACGAGGUCGACGGCAGGGUCCACGAACCGCCCGUGUGAUGAGCGUCGGCGCGCUUGGCCUUGGGCAUGCUGUCCUCGCCCGACGAGCCCGACGACGACACACCGACGCCGCUGCUCGACUCGCCGUGCAUAGCCGACAGGCGCGUCAUGACCUCCAUAAAGGUCGGGCGCACCGUCGGGUCCCUAUGCCAGCAGUCGUUGACGAGGUCGACAUAGGCCUGCGGAUGGGCCGCCGGCAGAUCGUCGGGCAUGCGCGGUCGCGCGUCGUCGCGGAUGACCGCUACGGCAAUGGCCGCCGGCGACAUGCCCGCAUAGGGCUGCUCGCGCGUGAGCACCUCCCACAGGAUGAUGCCAAAUGAGUAGACGUCGGCCAUGGCAUAGUCGACGUCCAGCGACUCGUUGAGCACCUCGGGCGCCAUCCAGUGCACACUGCCAAUGGGCGCCACGCCCACGCCGUCGGCCAGGUCGGCCCGGAACUUGGUCAGGCCAAAGUCUGACACCUUGACAUUCCACUUGUUGUCGAGCAGCAGGUUGAGCGACUUGACGUCGCGAUGCACGAUGCCUGUCCACCCCAAAAGAGAUGAUGGUGAGAAAACAAGAAAAAAUAAGAAAGAAAUGGGGAAAAAGAC
rnacentral:lncRNA from 1 species